CCUAACGGCUGUGCUUGUGCUGUGGCUGCUCAAAUCUUCAAUCCAGAGCUGCACCUCUGCUGCGGCUGUGCCUGUGCCGCUUCCUCAUCGAUUUCACGAUCUCCCGCCCAGGCCUAGGCACAUACAACACAAACCCGAUCAAGAGCCGCCACAACCACCUCCAUUGCCGAAGUAGUUUUGGUUUGGUUUAAAGCGUGCAAAUCUUGAUUUGUUGGGUUGUGGUUUGCGAUGAUGAGAUGAAACACUGGACGUGUUUUGGGCAGUGG